AAAAAAAUCCCAAGAACCCUAGUCAACCUGUCAAUCUUCGACUUUCCACUCUUGUCCCUGAGUAUCUUGCGACCUCCCCGAUUCAACCCCUUCCAUCAACAGAAGAAGGAGGUAAAGAAGGAAGGUCCCUUGUCCAUUCGUUUCACGACCUCUUCUUCUGGAAAAUGCUAAUUUAUAUACAGGGAAGGUACAUCGCAAUCUGGUGGUUUCUCUUGGACUUCUUUAGUAUAAGUAGUUCUUAUUUCUCCC